rnacentral:rRNA from 1 species
AUUAAACGCUGGCGGCAUGCCUUACACAUGCAAGUCGAACGGCAGCACGGGGGCAACCCUGGUGGCGAGUGGCGGACGGGUGAGUAAAGCAUCGGAACGUAUCCUGGAGUGGGGGGAUAACGUAGCGAAAGUUACGCUAAUACCGCAUAUUCUGUGAGCAGGAAAGCAGGGGAUCGCAAGACCUUGCGCUCUGGGAGCGGCCGAUGUCGGAUUAGCUAGUUGGUGGGGUAAAGGCCUACCAAGGCGACGAUCCGUAGCGGGUCUGAGAGGAUGAUCCGCCACACUGGGACUGAGACACGGCCCAGACUCCUACGGGAGGCAGCAGUGGGGAAUUUUGGGACAAUGGGCGGAAGCCUGAUCCAGCCAUGCCGCGUGAGUGAAGAAGGCC